GCGUGCUUAACACAUGCAAGUCGAACGGUGAACACGGAGCUUGCUCUGUGGGAUCAGUGGCGAACGGGUGAGUAACACGUGAGCAACCUGCCCCUGACUCUGGGAUAAGCGCUGGAAACGGCGUCUAAUACUGGAUACGAGUAGCGGCCGCAUGGUCAGUUACUGGAAAGAUUUAUUGGUUGGGGAUGGGCUCGCGGCCUAUCAGCUUGUUGGUGAGGUAAUGGCUCACCAAGGCGUCGACGGGUAGCCGGCCUGAGAGGGUGACCGGCCACACUGGGACUGAGACACGGCCCAGACUCCUACGGGAGGCAGCAGUGGGGAAUAUUGCACAAUGGGCGGAAGCCUGAUGCAGCAACGCCGCGUGAGGGAUGACGGCCUUCGGGUUGUAAACCUCUUUUAGCAGGGAAGAAGCGAAAGUGACGGUACCUGCAGAAAAAGCACCGGCUAACUACGUGCCAGCAGCCGCGGUAAUACGUAGGGUGCAAGCGUUAUCCGGAAUUAUUGGGCGUAAAGAGCUCGUAGGCGGUUUGUCGCGUCUGCUGUGAAAUCCGGAGGCUCAACCUCCGGCCUGCAGUGGGUACGGGCAGACUAGAGUGCGGUAGGGGAGAUUGGAAUUCCUGGUGUAGCGGUGGAAUGCGCAGAUAUCAGGAGGAACACCGAUGGCGAAGGCAGAUCUCUGGGCCGUUACUGACGCUGAGGAGCGAAAGGGUGGGGAGCAAACAGGCUUAGAUACCCUGGUAGUCCACCCCGUAAACGUUGGGAACUAGUUGUGGGGUCCAUUCCACGGAUUCCGUGACGCAGCUAACGCAUUAAGUUCCCCGCCUGGGGAGUACGGCCGCAAGGCUAAAACUCAAAGGAAUUGACGGGGACCCGCACAAGCGGCGGAGCAUGCGGAUUAAUUCGAUGCAACGCGAAGAACCUUACCAAGGCUUGACAUAUACGAGAACGGGCCAGAAAUGGUCAA
rnacentral:rRNA from 1 species